rnacentral:lncRNA from 1 species
GGCAGCGCUCGCCAUUGAAUGACUUCUAGGUGCUCCGGGGCACAGAGCUACAGCGCCGCUACAAGCGGUGGUGCCCGGGCCUUGGCAGGAGGAUGUGGCAGAUGCUGAAGAGUGUGCUGGUCGCUGUGGGCCCUUAAUGGACUGCCGGGCGUUCCACUACAAUGUGAGCAGCCAUGGUUGCCAACUGCUGCCAUGGACUCAACACUCACCCCACACGAGGCUGCGGCAUUCUGGGCGCUGUGACCUCUUCCAGGAGAAAGGCGAGUACAUGCCCACGCUCCGGAAUGGCCUGGAAGAGAACUUCUGCCGUAACCCUGAUGGCGACCCCGGAGGUCCUUGGUGCCACACAACAGACCCUGCCGUGCGCUUCCAGAGCUGCGGCAUCAAAUCCUGCCGGCCGCGUGUGUCUGGUGCAAUGGCGAGGAAUACCGCGGCGCGGUAGACCGCACCGAGUCAGGGCGCGAGUGCCAGCGCUGGGAUCUUCAGCACCCGCACCAGCACCCCUUCGAGCCGGGCAAGUUCCUCGACCAAGGUCUGGACGACAACUAUUGCCGGAAUCCUGACGGCUCCGAGCGGCCAUGGUGCUACACUACGGAUCCGCAGAUCGAGCGAGAAUUCUGUGACCUCCCCCGCUGCGGUAGGCGGCGGGGACCAGGCCUGGGAGGGUACCUGGGAACCUUGGGGAGGGGCGUGGCUUGGCCGGGGAGGUCAGAGGGGCUGGGCGUGACCUGAGAGCAUAUCCCGUGGAGUACCGUACACCUGGGAAAGGCGGGUUUGGUCCCAGCCCCAGAGGGAUCUCAGCUGUCGCUCGGGGCCGGACCUAUCUCGGUCCAUCUAAGGGUCCGAGGCACAGCCCCGCCAAGAGGCCACAAGUGUCAGCUGCUUCCGCGGGAAGGGUGAGGGCUACCGGGGCACAGCCAAUACCACCACCGCGGGCGUACCUUGCCAGCGUUGGGACGCGCAAAUCCCGCAUCAGCACCGAUUUACGCCAGAAAAAUACGCGUGCAAGUGAGGUGGGGGGGCGGGCGUUGGGACGUGCUGCUGCGGGUGAGACGGGAGGAGGGUAGUCACGGGCUUAGGGCUGGAGGCUGGCGGGCUAGGGCUGAGUGCAGCGCCUGCUUAGAGACCUUCGGGAGAACUUCUGCCGGAACCCCGACGGCUCAGAGGCGCCCUGGUGCUUCACACUGCGGCCCGGCAUGCGCGUGGGCUUUUGCUACCAGAUCCGGCGUUGUACAGACGACGUGCGGCCCCAGGGUGAGGCCCAAGCUUGGGGGCUACAGAGCCGGGGCUGGAAGCCUGGAACCGGAGGGCCGGGGCGGGGUCUCGGCCUGAUGGCUGCCCGCACCGGCCGCAGACUGCUACCACGGCGCGGGGGAGCAGUACCGCGGCACGGUCAGCAAGACCCGCAAGGGUGUCCAGUGCCAGCGCGGGUCCGCUGAGACGCCGCACAAGCCGCAGUGAAUCCCUGGUGCUCCCGGCCCCGCCAGGGCCCUAACCCUGGGGCGGCAUGCUUUGAUGUCUGGGACCAGAGCCUGGAAAUGGUUGAGACUACCCUGCCACGACUUCGCUCCCGCUCCCGCCUCGGUUCACGUUUACCUCCGAACCGCAUGCACAACUGGAGGAGAACUUCUGCCAGACCCAGAUGGGGAUAGCCAUGGGCCCUGGUGCUACACGAUGGACCCAAGGACCCCAUUCGACUACUGUGCCCUGCGACGCUGCGCUGAUGACCAGCCGCCAUCAAUCCUGGACCCCCCCAGACCAGGUGCAGUUUGAGAAGUGUGGCAAGAGGGUGGAUCGGCUGGAUCAGCGUUGUUCCAAGCUGCGCGUGGCUGGGGGCCAUCCGGGCAACUCACCCUGGACAGUCAGCUUGCGGAAUUGGUGAGGCACAACUGCCUGUCUCCCACAGAGAGGAGCUGAGGCAGGGCCAGCAUUUCUGCGGGGGGUCUCUAGUGAAGGAGCAGUGGAUACUGACUGCCCGGCAGUGCUUCUCCUCCUGCCAUAUGCCUCUCACGGGCUAUGAGGUAUGGUUGGGCACCCUGUUCCAGAACCCACAACAUGGAGAGCCAGGCCUACAGCGGGUCCCAGUAGCCAAGAUGCUGUGUGGGCCCUCAGGCUCUCAGCUUGUCCUGCUCAAGCUGGAGAGAUCUGUGACCCUGAACCAGCGUGUGGCCCUGAUCUGCCUGCCGCCUGAAUGAUAUGUGGUGCCUCCAGGGACCAAGUGUGAGAUUGCAGGCCGGGGUGAGACCAAAGGUACGGGUAAUGACACAGUCCUAAAUGUGGCCUUGCUGAAUGUCAUCUCCAACCAGGAGUGUAACAUCAAGCACCGAGGACAUGUGCGGGAGAGCGAGAUGUGCACUGAGGGACUGUUGGCCCCUGUGGGGGCCUGUGAGGGUGACUACGGGGGCCCACUUGCCUGCUUUACCCACAACUGCUGGGUCCUGAAAGGAAUUAGAAUCCCCAACCGAGUAUGCGCAAGGUCGCGCUGGCCAGCCGUCUUCACGCGUGUCUCUGUGUUUGUGGACUGGAUUCACAAGGUCAUGAGACUGGGUUAGGCCCAGCCUUGACGCCAUAUGCUUUGGGGAGGACAAAACUUGUAAGUACAGUCAAGGACAAGACUUGUACUCAAGGCUGAGAUUUAAUAAAAUUCAUAUUUUUACUACUUCACCAAGGACUUUCUUAAAUGAAAAUGGUUUUUCCCCCUACAAGUAAACAGUAAUAAAGAAGAGAAUUAUUCCU